rnacentral:rRNA from 1 species
UGUAACCUACGGGACGCAGCAGUGGGGAAUAUUGCACAAUGGGGGAAACCCUGAUGCAGCGACGCCGCGUGAAGGAAGAAGUAUUUCGGUAUGUAAACUUCUAUCAGCAGGGAAGAGAAUGACGGUACCUGACUAAGAAGCCCCGGCUAACUACGUGCCAGCAGCCGCGGUAAUACGUAGGGGGCGAGCGUUAUCCGGAUUUACUGGGUGUAAAGGGAGCGUAGACGGUUCUGCAAGUCUGAAGUGAAAGCCCGUGGCUUAACCGCGGAACGGCUUUGGAAACUGUGGAACUGGAGUGCUGGAGG